UGCAAAUGGUAUUCUUCAGUUUCUCCUUCUGUGCUGUCCGUUGUAAGUUGUUGUAUUUGUUUGACAUUUGACUUAUUUAUCCUUCUUGUGGUCAAACAAAGUAUUAAAGGGUAGGAAAUCUUUAAAUGUGUGCAAGUUCAACAUAUUGGUACCCCCCUCCAUUUUCUUCUCUCUCAAGGGGCAAUCAGAUUCCAGAAAGCGAGACAUAAAGAUACUCUUAUCUAAUUUCCAUUGAUCUUUUUGUCAAAUUUAAUGUUUUCUUUGUACACUAGAAGGAGAGUGACGUUUUAUAGAAAAAAACAGUCCUUAUAUAAGAUAAAUUGUAAAACCCAAAAAUAACCUUAAUGGGUCGUUGCAUGCUCUUCAAAGCACCACGACGAGAUUUAGGUGAGAUUUUCAACGUUAACGGAAUUUAACAGAAAUAAUUUUAGAAAGUUCCUUGCAAAAUUCUGAUCGUUUUGGUAUAUAGAACUUAUACCCAAUUUUGCCUAAAACUAAAAAUGGAAUUAAAAAUGUUUAAAGUCCCUAAAUGCCAAUUUUACCCCUAGGAUUUUCUUCAACAAAAAUUACUUGAGGGCUUAUUGGACAUUUGCAAAAACAUUUCCUCUUAUUAGACAAAACCGAAACCCUUCUCAUUUCACGCGUGAACCGCACGAAACAAGAGGAACGGACGGCUGGUGAGGUGUCUGGCAAGGUGCGGGAUCUCCUCUCACGACGAUCUUCCCGCGAAACUUUUAGAUCAAAUCGAAGAGGACGACGAGAGAAACACUCCGGUAUGAUUAUUUCUAAACGAAUCCCUCUCGAUCUCUAGAUUUUUGGAGAUAGAAAUUCUAGGAUUUUUCCUAAAAAUGGUUUUCUCCCAAAAUUUCUUUAAGAAAUUAAUAAGGGACAUUUAGGAGAGCAUGUUAACGGUAGAAAAGAUGUUUUUGGAAAAAAUUUUGGCGAUUUGUAAUUAGGGUUUUUCCUAAUCUAUGAUUUUAAGAAAAAUCUUUUUACAAUUUUUAUUCUUUAGGGUAUAAGAAAUGCUUUAAGGAUGAAAAUUUUGAUAUUUUAAGAAAAAUUUAUUUUUCUUAUUUUUCUAAAUUAUUUAAUCCGAAAAUUAAUUAAGUAAUUAUUAAAUAUUGUUUAGGAAUAAUGUUAGAAUAGAGUUUUGAGCAAAAUUUAAGAUUUAGGGAUUUCUAAAAUUUAAAUUUAAAUUAAAUCCGAAAAUUCAUAUUAAUUUAAUUAAAUAUUCAUUAAGUUUUGUAUGAAAUGAUUAAGGGAAAAUAAAGAUUUAGACUUAAGAAUAUGAUAAUUAGUUUUAUGACACGUCUCUUUUGUAAAUCCUUCUUAGGUAGUGAUCAUUGAAGGGUGGAGUGGAAGACUUGUGUCGAAGCGACGUGUCGUACUUGGUUUGAGGAGAGAAGUAAUGGCUGCACGACGACCUUACACUUAUCGUCGUAGGGGACCUCAGGAGGAAGAAAAGUUCCAUUUGUUUUUUUGUUUUAAGUCUAAGUUUGAGUUUAUAUCUGAGUAUGAACAGUAAGUGGAGUUUAUGUAAUGAUGUAUUGAAAGUUUUUAGUGAUCUUGAGGCAAUUGAACAAUUUGGAACUAUCUGAGUUUAUUGUUGUUAGUUGCUCUUUCUUAUACUGGAUGAUGAUUAUGUUGUCUAA